GCCAGACUCCUACGGGAGGCAGCAGUGAGGAAUAUUGGUCAAUGGGCGAGAGCCUGAACCAGCCAAGUCGCGUGAGGGAAGACGGUCCUAUGGAUUGUAAACCUCUUUUGCCGGGGAGCAAAAAGCGGUACGUGUACCGCAUCGAGAGUACCCGGAGAAAAAGCAUCGGCUAACUCCGUGCCAGCAGCCGCGGUAAUACGUAGGGGGCAAGCGUUAUCCGGAUUUACUGGGUGUAAAGGGAGCGUAGACGGUGAGACAAGUCUGAAGUGAAAGCCCGGGGCUCAACCCCGGGACUGCUUUGGAAACUGCCUGACUGGAGUGCUGGAGAGGCAAGCGGAAUUCCUAGUGUAGCGGUGAAAUGCGUAGAUAUUAGGAAGAACACCAGUGGCGAAGGCGGCUUGCUGGACAGUAACUGACGUUGAGGCUCGAAAGCGUGGGGAGCAAACAGGAUUAGAUACCCCUGUAU
rnacentral:rRNA from 1 species